rnacentral:rRNA from 1 species
GAUGAACGCUGGCGGCGUGCCUAAUACAUGCAAGUCGAGCGAACGGACGAGAAGCUUGCUUUUCUGAUGUUAGCGGCGGACGGGUGAGUAACACGUGGAUAACCUACCUAUAAGACUGGGAUAACUUCGGGAAACCGGAGCUAAUACCGGAUAAUAUUUUGAACCGCAUGGUUCAAAAGUGAAAGACGGUCUUGCUGUCACUUAUAGAUGGAUCCGCGCUGCAUUAGCUAGUUGGUAAGGUAACGGCUUACCAAGGCAACGAUUCAUAGCCGACCUGAGAGGGUGAUCGGGCACACUGGAACUGAGACACGGUCCAGACUCCUACGGGAGGAAGCAGUAGGGAAUCUUCCGCAAUGGGCGAAAGCCUGACGGAGCAACGCCGCGUGAGUGAUGAAGGUCUUCGGAUCGUAAAACUCUGUUAUUAGGGAAGAACAUAUGUGUAAGUAACUGUGCACAUCUUGACGGUACCUAAUCAGAAAGCCACGGCUAACUACGUG